GGGUGUCUUGAUAGGCAUUGA
rnacentral:siRNA from 1 species